UACGGAGGGUGCAAGCAUUAAUCGGAUUUACUGGGCGUAAAGGGCGCGUAGGCGGGUCUACAAGUCAAAUGUGAAAUUCCGGAGCUCAACUUCGGAGCGGCAUUUGAAACUGUAGGUCUAUAGAGGGAUGGCGGAGAAAAUGGAAUUCCACAUGUAGCGGUGAAAUGCGUAGAUAUGUGGAAGAACACCAGUGGCGAAAGCGGAUUUUCUAGCUAUUACCUGACGCUGAGGCGCGAGAGCAUGGGGAGCAAACAGG
rnacentral:rRNA from 1 species